AAUUAGGAGAACUAAAUAAUGAUUUAAAACAGUAUAAUAUGAACAACCACUAUGUACUCCACUUCAAUUUUAGUUACUAUUUCUUCAACAACCCAAACAGCAUUAAAACAAGAGAAAUCAAAUCAUUAGAUUGAUUAAAGAACAAAAGAACGGUACUAAAAAAUUCUUAGAUGCAUUGCUUCAAAACUUGUUCAAAUUUUUUUCUUCUUGAGAAACAAAAUCAAACAUGCAAAAACAAAACAAGAAGACAAACAAUCCCAAUAAAAGAACACUCACAAGAUUACUACUUUUCCAUCAGA
rnacentral:misc_RNA from 1 species